GUGGGGAAUAUUGGACAAUGGGCGAAAGCCUGAUCCAGCCAUGCCGCGUGUGUGAAGAAGGUCUUCGGAUUGUAAAGCACUUUAAGUUGGGAGGAAGGGCAGUAAGUUAAUACCUUGCUGUUUUGACGUUACCGACAGAAUAAGCACCGGCUAACUUCGUGCCAGCAGCCGCGGUAAUACGAAGGGUGCAAGCGUUAAUCGGAAUUACUGGGCGUAAAGCGCGCGUAGGUGGUUUUGUAAGUUGGAGGUGAAAUCCCCGGGCUCAACCUGGGAACUGCCUCCAAAACUGCAUGGCUAGAGUACGUUAGAGGGUAGUGGAAUUUCCUGUGUAGCGGUGAAAUGCGUAGAUAUAGGAAGGAACACCAGUGGCGAAGGCGACUACCUGGACUGAUACUGACACUGAGGUGCGAAAGCGUGGGGAGCAAACAGGAUUAGAUACCCCAGUAGUCC
rnacentral:rRNA from 1 species